GGGGGUGAGGCGGGGGUGAGGCGGGGUCGGGAGGCUGUACCCUCCGGGUGGUGUGGCAAGGCUGUGGCUGCGUCUAGACGGGAACUGUGAUGUCAUCAGGAAUGUGAAUAACCGACUGAAACCGACCCGGGGUUCUGAUCCGCUGCGGACAAGGACGGCUCCUGUGCCCAACCACUUCCCGUACGUAGACGGGGGUAAUAAUCUGAGAAGCCCCAUCAUGGAAAGAGCCCGUAAGAGGACUGGCAGCGAGGGGGAAACUUCGGCCAAACUCACAUCUGGAUUGGAGUUUUGUUUGUCGAUUUGGUUGAUUUGGUUUCCACCUGGGUUUAUUUUAAUACAUGUAUUGUGUACAUAAGUGUAUAUAUAUCAUUUGUUUCAAAGUGGUAGUGCCUUUGGUAUUUUUACCGUAAUUAUAUGCAUACAUACCCAUUAGCUUGUUUGAUCGCAGUGUUCUUUAUUGCUGCUACUGUGACACUGUAAUGAAUAAAGUGUUGACCUCUUCUCGUUCCUUUCUGGAAUCGUAAGGAUUUCUUCAGGGGCCUCGAUCACUAGGGAGCUGCAAUAGAGGGGCCCUCACUGGCUUAAGGGCCCCCAGCUGUCCUGAGUGGAGUUCGAAAUGUUCGGUCAUUUCAUUAUCUGUACGUUUGUGGACAUAGCCUGCUAUUGUGGAAUAUUUCAGAUUAAAACUCGAUUUCAGGGUCUACAUGUGGCGUGAUAUGUGACCAGUUAUUCUGCAUCUUCAAACUAGGGUGACAUUAGUGCAAUAUCUCUCAUCACACGUGUAUUUAAAGGUCUUCUCGCCGUCCUGUGGGAGCUGCUGUCCACCAGCGCGGACGACAAGGUUCUAAGCAGGCGCUGUGAGUACCGGAAUUAGCCUAGCCGGAAGCAUUUAAUAAAACAUCUACGGGCCACAUUCCCACAGUGUGAAUAAACAGUCGCCCCAGUGUGAUUGUGCGUAAGCGAGAGUGUAUGUGUGUGAGUCUGUAUAAGUGUGUGUGUGUCUGUAGAGGCACUCUCCACCUACUGGACGUUCUCUGGAACCGCGCCCUGUCUGCGCGCCCCACCCUCUGUGCCUCCCUCCCUCCCGGCCUGAGGCAGUCGAUUCACGGCGUGCGGUGAAUCGACUGCCUCUGUCUCCUCGGAGGAACAAUCGGGUUGGACACUGACCUGUGUGACGGACCUGCCGAGCACAGACUCUUCCACAUGAGCACUGAACACGGCACUCGUCUGCACGUCUGCAUGGAGCGCGGACGGAAACAAAGUAGCUCCUCUUCAUGAAUGCAUCUGGUAAACAAGAGGCAGACGCAGCUGCUGCGUUUUUCCAAGACAGACACACACACACACACACACACACAAACACACACACACACACACACACACACACACACACACACACACACACACACACACACACACACACACACACACACACACACACACACACACACACACACACACACACACACACUGACCCACACAGUCACAC